CCGACAGGUUGCGGUGCUUUGCCGAAUAUUGAUAAUGGCGAAGCGAGUUUUCUAUGAUUCGGGAAUAAAAAAUCAGCCAUCGGCGCGUGGGCAGAUCUAAUCUGUAAUGAAGGGUAUAAAAGUUGUACAAAUAAGAUUCGGUGUCUAGAAAGUGGGGUUUGGACAACCACUGUGUGUGAACCAGAACAACCAGUCAUACAAUGUAAGGUAAACAACACUUGUGGACUAUCUGCCGAAUCGUGUAGUACUCCUGGUCAAAAAUGUUACAUAGACGAUGCCGAAGUGCUUUUACCGAACACUAUCUCAUACACAUCUGAAUUAUUUGAACAACCUAUUGCCUCAGAAGAAAUUUGCAGAGGAAUGUGUUUGAGUGCCACAACGUAUCGCUGUGUUGCCUACAUGUAUUAUCCACUUUCAAAACAAUGUUCGACAUACAGCAAAACUCCAGCUGAGGGAUUACAAACGUAUUAUCAUAAUCUUAGUGUGCUGAGAAUACUGACAUGUCGAGCUUGUUAAACAUUUUAAAACGAUUAUGCCUGAUUAAUGCCUUUUGUCAAUCUAUUAUGACUUAAUUAUAUUGUCUAGCAUACAUUUACUUCCUUUUUAACGUUUUGAAGGUUAAUUUUCGGCAUAAAAUUACAAACAAACAAAAUUCAAUAAAUGUAUCUGUAAACUAGAACUGUAUCCAAAGGACACGGAUGCCCCCAUCGACAGCAUAUAUGUAUGGUAUUUAGUAAAAAAAUCAACAAAGGGCCAUAAUUCUGUUAAAUUUGGUCGCAGCGAAUUUUUCUGCCUUUACUAUCAUCUACACAUUAGGGUUAUUUAUCCCUGGAAGUUUAGGCAAAAUCUGCUCACCGGUUUAAGAGUUGCGUUCACAAAAUUUCUACAAAGUAUAUAGUGAAAAAAUCAACAAAGGGCCAUAACUCUGUUAAAUUUGGUCGCAGCAAAAAUUCCUUCCUUUACUACCAUCUACACAUAAAGUUUGUUCAUCCCUGGAAGUUUAGGCAAAAUCUGCUCACCGGUUUAAGAGUUGCGUUCACAAAAUUUCUACAAAGUAUAUAGUGAAAAAAUCAACAAAGGGCCAUAACUCUGUUAAAUUUGGUCGCAGCAAAAAUUCCUUCCUCUACUACCAUCUACACAUAAAGGUUGUUCAUCCCUGGAAGUUUAAACAAAAUCUGCUGUCUGGUUUAAGAGUAGUUGCGUUCACAAAAUUUCUAUAUGGUAUAUAGUGAUAAAAUCAACAAAGGGCCAUAAUUCUGUUAAAUUUCGUCGUUCGCAGCAAAAAUUCUCUUUUACUACCAUCUACAAAUUAAGGUUGUUCAUCACUGGAACUUUAAAGUAAAUCUGCCAUCCGGACUAAGAGGAGUUGCGUUCAUAAAAUUUCUACAUUGUAUAUAGUAAAAAAAUCAACAAAAGGUCAUAAUUCUGUUAAAUUUGCUUCCAGCAAACAUUCCUUCCGUUACUACCAUUUACACAUUGAGGUUGUUCAUCCCUGGAAGUUUAAGCAAAACCUGCCAUCCGGUUUGAAAGAAGUUGCAUUCACAAAUUUUCUACAUAAUAUAUAGUGAAAAAAUCAACAAAGGGUCAUAAUUCUGUUAAAUUUUGAGGCAGCAAAAAUUCCUUCCUUUACUGCCAUCUACACAUCAAGGUUGUUCAUCCCUAAAAGUUUAAGCAAAAUCUGCCACCCGGUUUAAGAGGAGUUGCGUUCACAAGAUUUCGGGACGUACGGAUAGACGGACGGACGUUCUUACCAGAGCUACAUUAUGGGGUUUUCUUUUCUUAAUUCUUGCUCUUUUUUAACCCCACAAUGCAGAAAAUAACCCCACAAGAGAAACGGAAUGAAUGACAUCAAAGACAUCUUUCGUUUUGAGAACAAUAGACCAAACCCCAUAAUGUAGCUCUGGUUUGUACGGACAGACGCACGGACGGACAAGUGCAAGACUAUAUGCCCCCAACUUUGUAGGGGCAUACAAAUCUUGUUUUUAUACUUAUUUAGUUAUAAAGUAUUCACGUGGUUAUUCUACGAAUAUUAAAAUUUAAUUCAGAAUAUUAUAUCAAAUCAAUAUAUUGCUAUGUACAAUUGUGUUAAUUAUUAAACCAUUUCAACGUU